rnacentral:rRNA from 1 species
AUUGAACGCUGGCGGCAGGCUUAACACAUGCAAGUCGAACGAUGACUCUCUAGCUUGCUAGAGAAGAUUAGUGGCGGACGGGUGAGUAACAUUUAGGAAUCUGCCUAGUAGUGGGGGAUAGCUCGGGGGAACUCGAAUUAAUACCGCAUACGACCUACGGGUGAAAGGGGGCGCAAGCUCUUGCUAUUAGAUGAGCCUAAAUCAGAUUAGCUAGUUGGUGGGGUAAAGGCCCACCAAGGCGACGAUCUGUAACUGGUCUGAGAGGAUGAUCAGUCACACCGGAACUGAGACACGGUCCGGACUCCUACGGGAGGCAGCAGUGGGGAAUAUUGGACAAUGGGGGCAACCCUGAUCCAGCCAUGCCGCGUGUGUGAAGAAGGCCUUUUGGUUGUAAAGCACUUUAAGCAGGGAGGAGAGGCUAAUGGUUGAUACCCAUUAGAUUAGACGUUACCUGCAGAAUAAGCACCGGCUAACUCUGUGCCAGCAGCCGCGGUAAUACAGAGGGUGCGAGCGUUAAUCGGAAUUACUGGGCGUAAAGCGAGUGUAGGUGGCUCAUUAAGUCACAUGUGAAAUCCCCGGGCUUAACCUGGGAACUGCAUGUGAUACUGGUGGUGCUAGAAUAUGUGAGAGGGAAGUAGAAUUCCAGGUGUAGCGGUGAAAUGCGUAGAGAUCUGGAGAAAUACCGAUGGCGAAGGCAGCUUCCUGGCAUAAUAUUGACACUGAGAUUCGAAAGCGUGGGUAGCAAACAGGAUUAGAUACCCUGGUAGUCCACGCCGUAAACGAUGUCUACUAGCCGUUGGGGUCCUUGAGACUUUAGUGGCGCAGUUAACGCGAUAAGUAGACCGCCUGGGGAGUACGGCCGCAAGGUUAAAACUCAAAUGAAUUGACGGGGGCCCGCACAAGCGGUGGAGCAUGUGGUUUAAUUCGAUGCAACGCGAAGAACCUUACCUGGUCUUGACAUAGUGAGAAUCUUUCAGAGAUGAGAGAGUGCCUUCGGGAAUUCACAUACAGGUGCUGCAUGGCUGUCGUCAGCUCGUGUCGUGAGAUGUUGGGUUAAGUCCCGCAACGAGCGCAACCCUUUUCCUUAUUUGCCAGCGGGUUAAGCCGGGAACUUUAAGGAUACUGCCAGUGACAAACUGGAGGAAGGCGGGGACGACGUCAAGUCAUCAUGGCCCUUACGACCAGGGCUACACACGUGCUACAAUGGUAGGUACAGAGGGUUGCUACACAGCGAUGUGAUGCUAAUCUCAAAAAGCCUAUCGUAGUCCGGAUUGGAGUCUGCAACUCGACUCCAUGAAGUCGGAAUCGCUAGUAAUCGCAGAUCAGAAUGCUGCGGUGAAUACGUUCCCGGGCCU